rnacentral:rRNA from 1 species
GAGGAGCUUGCUCCUUUGAUGUUAGCGGCGGACGGGUGAGUAACACGUAGGUAACCUACCUAUAAGACUGGGAUAACUUCGGGAAACCGGAGCUAAUACCGGAUAAUAUUUCGAACCGCAUGGUUCGAUAGUGAAAGAUGGCUUUGCUAUCACUUAUAGAUGGACCUGCGCCGUAUUAGCUAGUUGGUAAGGUAACGGCUUACCAAGGCAACGAUACGUAGCCGACCUGAGAGGGUGAUCGGCCACACUGGAACUGAGACACGGUCCAGACUCCUACGGGAGGCAGCAGUAGGGAAUCUUCCGCAAUGGGCGAAAGCCUGACGGAGCAACGCCGCGUGAGUGAUGAAGGUCUUCGGAUCGUAAAACUCUGUUAUUAGGGAAGAA